CUGGGCGUUAAGUUGCAGGGUAUAGACCCGAAACCCGGUGAUCUAGCCAUGGGCAGGUUGAAGGUUGGGUAACACUAACUGGAGGACCGAACCGACUAAUGUUGAAAAAUUAGCGGAUGACUUGUGGCUGGGGGUGAAAGGCCAAUCAAACCGGGAGAUAGCUGGUUCUCCCCGAAAGCUAUUUAGGUAGCGCCUCGUGAAUUCAUCUCCGGGGGUAGAGCACUGUUUCGGCAAGGGGGUCAUCCCGACUUACCAACCCGAUGCAAACUGCGAAUACCGGAGAAUGUUAUCACGGGAGACACACGGCGGGUGCUAACGUCCGUCGUGAAGAGGGAAACAACCCAGACCGCCAGCUAAGGUCCCAAAGUCAUGGUUAAGUGGGAAACGAUGUGGGAAGGCCCAGACAGCCAGGAUGUUGGCUUAGAAGCAGCCAUCAUUUAAAGAAAGCGUAAUAGCUCACUGGUCGAGUCGGCCUGCGCGGAAGAUGUAACGGGGCUAAACCAUGCACCGAAGCUGCGGCAGCGACGCUGAUGCGUUGUUGGGUAGGGGAGCGUUCUGUAAGCCUGUGAAGGUGUGCUGUGAGGCAUGCUGGAGGUAUCAGAAGUGCGAAUGCUGACAUAAGUAACGAUAAAGCGGGUGAAAAGCCCGCUCGCCGGAAGACCAAGGGUUCCUGUCCAACGUUAAUCGGGGCAGGGUGAGUCGACCCCUAAGGCGAGGCCGAAAGGCGUAGUCGAUGGGAAACAGGUUAAUAUUCCUGUACUUGGUGUUACUGCGAAGGGGGGACGGAGAAGGCUAUGUUGGCCGGGCGACGGUUGUCCCGGUUUAAGCGUGUAGGCUGGUUUUCCAGGCAAAUCCGGAAAAUCAAGGCUGAGGCGUGAUGACGAGGCACUACGGUGCUGAAGCAACAAAUGCCCUGCUUCCAGGAAAAGCCUCUAAGCAUCAGGUAACAUCAAAUCGUACCCCAAACCGACACAGGUGGUCAGGUAGAGAAUACCAAGGCGCUUGAGAGAACUCGGGUGAAGGAACUAGGCAAAAUGGUGCCGUAACUUCGGGAGAAGGCACGCUGAUAUGUAGGUGAAGCGACUUGCUCG
rnacentral:rRNA from 1 species